UGGAGGUUAUACAAUUCUGUGCUAUGGGAAGACUUCAUUCAUGCCACAUUGUACUUGCUGAUUAUGACACUAAAAGGGGAAGCACAUUCUGCCUGCACAUGCCUAACACUUUGUUGGCCUGCAUCAGAAGAGCCAUGAAUGCUCUGCGUAAGACAGAAGCCAAACUUCCUUGUUAUGCAGAUAAUCCAGUUUAGUAGAUGUCAUUCCAAUCAGGCUCUUCCCAAACAAUCCAAGAAGCCAUUGAAUGUGUGGAUUGUUUCCUGGGUGUGUUAACAAGCCCUUUGCUGCAAGACUGCCUCUGGCAGGACUGCCACGUGGGCAUCUCAUCUAAGGACAUGAAGGGACUGCUGCUCUGGCAAGGCUGAACUGAUAGAAUCUCAGCACCUUCCUGUGAGAUAAGUGCAAGACACCAUCAUACAGCUAUGGGGAAACCUACAACAGGGUUGUCCUGCCAUGGCAGGGGACCAGAAUUUUGCCACAGAAGGAGGAGAAGGAGGAAAAAGACUGUCAGACUGACACAAGUUCAGUGAUGUUUUCAUACUCUGGAGUGGGUGUGUUACUGGUGCACUGCACCAGAGCAGCAAAGCAGCUCUAGGCCUCCUCUCUGGCCCAGUUUUGCCUUCCUUCCAUCCCUACCCCCCAUGGGCAUGUUGAUGCUGUUAUACCCCAGGGCUGACUGUGCCAUGCUGUGGCAGUGAGGUUUCAGGCUUUCCCACUUCUCCCUGUUCAGUGGGUCUGGGAUGACAGCAGAAGAGGGCACAGGAGGGCGUGGUGUGGGGAGCCAGAGUACUUCUGCAAGGUUUCUUCUUGUCUCCUUCACGCUGCUAUGAGCACAUGUCCCUACAGGACAGCUUUCCCAAGCCACACCCCCACUCACUGUCUCCUUUUCCCAAAAGCUCUGGAACUGCUUAGUAAUGCUGCAGUGGAUGGAGGACAGGACACAUGCAAACAUGGAGCAUAUUGCUGUGUGAAAUUUUCCAUGGAAAAACUCAGGAACUCCCCUGAAACUUUGCUGACACAGUGCCUGUUACAGUCUUUGAUACUGAAAACGGAGGGAGCAGAGAUGCUGCUGCAGACAUUUCUCAAGGGAACCUGUGAUGUCCCCAACACAUGAUGAUCCUAAUUUCCUAAGGAACUCUGAUGCCAUGUAGGAGGCCACUCUCCAGGUGAAUUUCAUGGAGACCAGGGAAAGGGAGCAUAUCUACUACCUCACUGCUGCUGCAAAGAAGAAAAUGAGUCCAUCCCCCUCCAUGGAAAACCAGCAGGAAGCCUUUCUUCAUAUCAGCCUAGGCAGGUUUUCACCCCCCUGACAUGAAGGAACCUGUUUUCCUACAAAAAAGAGAAGUGAGUAUUUGGAUGAAUUUACUUGGCAAUAAAUACAGUGAGGCCUGGGAAGAUGAAACAGGGUGAAUCCUGGCAUUUGCAUUCAGAAACAUUCACGGCUCUCUCAGGAAAAUGUCACCACUCUGUAUUCUGCAGAGAUCUCUUUCCAGGAAGAGUCCAAGCUCUGCACAGCCACCAGAGGACCGACACAGAAGUAAAAUAUUAGAGGUUCAUCAACAGUGUGUGGGCAUACGUGGGUGUACUUUCAUUUAUCCAUGAAUGCAAUUUCCCAAACAUAGAGAGAAAUAAUUAUUUUGGAUGAAUUUGUGAUGCCUUGAAUUGUACAGAUCCUUGUGGUUUGUUAUAGGCACAGAUCCUAUGUUCUGUGCAGCUGACAGAGCCAAAUCCUACCCUCGCUCUCCAGAGAGUUUGAACCUCACCCUCAAAUUUUAAGAUGUCAGUGAAGAAUGGGAUCCACGUUGCUAAAACCCAGCCGCAAGGAGUAAUGAUAUUAACAUCCAUGUCUGGCCUGGGAUCCUUAGGGAUGUAUCAUUGACGGAGUUGCUCAGGCCAAGACAGUGCAGAUGUCCAUAUCAUAUUAGAUGUCACUCAGUCCUUUCAAACCAGCAACACAAAUCUGAAAAUGCUACUUGCACAGUUCAUGUGUGCUGGAAUAGGAUCUGCCCUCUGUCUCAUUUUAGCUUGGUCAAAAAACCCCGAGGCACUGGAGAGGAUGUUUACAGACCCAGAGGGUGCCUGCACUAUAAGAAUCAUUCUUUGGAGACCAUUUAUUGUCACAUAUAAUUAUUCUGCAAACCCUCAGCACCAUUGGAGUGGCUACUGUAUGUUUUCAUUUGUUCAAGAAACUGCCACACAAAUCCAUGAGAGGAAAACCAGGUGGAGAUCCCACCUGAUCCUGAUCCUACACACAACAAAGGCAUCAGGACUGGGAUGUGCCCAAGCUCAGAACACCUGGGGAAUGGGGCAGUGAUCAGGGAAAGCCUCAGCACAUGUGUCUGUACCCUUACAUACUGAGCUUUGUCAGCCUCAGACACCAGUGAGGCUCUCAGCCACUGCCAGGGAGACACUGCUCAAGGCUGGCCUUUGGACUGACCCAGACCAUCUGCCAUGUCCUGACAUGCCUGUCACAACAAGCCAACACACAGCAGUAAGGCAGUCUUCCUGGUCUGAUGGAGCUAAUAAGAACCUGAUGAUGUCUGGAAUCCUGACUUUGGCAUCAGUGUCAACAAAACAACAUUUAGCAAGAUAAAUGUGGACCAGUGAAUUUAGUUUUGCAUUCCAGCUAUGUAAUUAGACUGUUUCUUUGUUUUGACAUUAAAAACAUCACUAUUUAAAUCUCAUGUUAUAAUUAAGUACUUGUAGCUUAUAGG